CCUUACUACUUGGAUAACCGUGGUAAUUCUAGAGCUAAUACAUGCUGAAAAUCCCGACUUCGGAAGGGAUGUAUUUAUUAGAUUAAAAACCAAUGGGGCCCCCCUGGGCUUCUCUGGUGAUUCAUGAUAACUGCGCGAAUCGCAUGGCCUUGCGCCGGCGAUGGUUCAUUCGAAUUUCUUCCCUAUCAGCUUUCGAUGUUUGGGUAGUGGCCAAACAUGGUUGCAACGGGUAACGGAGGGUUAGGGCUCGGCCCCGGAGAAGGAGCCUGAGAAACGGCUACUACAUCCAAGGAAGGCAGCAGGCGCGCAAAUUACCCAAUCCCGACACGGGGAGGUAGUGACAAUAAAUACUGAAUACAGGGCUCUUUUGGGUCUUGUAAUUGGAAUGAGUACAAUUUAAAUCCCUUAACGAGGAACAAUUGGAGGGCAAGUCUGGUGGACGUUGCUGGCGCCAGAGAGAGCCGCCCCCUCCGUAGACCAUGCGGCUAGUCGAGUGCUCGCGUCAGUGGCGGGUGAGCACCGGCGAGACAACCUGGGUCGGGGAAGGCUAAGGGCCCCCGGGGCUUACGCUGAUCCCGAGCAGAGCCGUGCGGUGCCCGCGCCCGCACGGCCUGUGUAGAGCGCGCCAAGGUGUCGGUUCGGGGGAGUCCAGCUCCCCGGGGCUUAAGGUACGUGCCAAUCCCCUGCGAAAGCAGGGCCCUGCGGAUGGAGCACCCGUCAUGCGAAGCCGCAGGGGCGGGCCCCUGCCCUGUCCGCGAGUAUUAACAGUGGCCAGCAGCCGCGGUAAUUCCAGCUCCAAUAGCGUAUAUUAAAGUUGUUGUGGUUAAAAAGCUCGUAGUUGAACCUUGGGCCUGGCCGGCCGGUCCGCCUCACCGCGUGCACUGGUCCGGCCGGGCCUUUCCACCCGUGGAACCCCAUGCCCUUCGCUGGGCGUGGCGGGAAACGGGACUUUUACUUUGAAAAAAUUAGAGUGCUCCAGCAGGCCUAUGCUCGAAUACAUUAGCAUGGAAUAAUAAAAUAGGACGUGCGGUUCUAUUUUUGUUGG
rnacentral:rRNA from 1 species